AUUGAACGCUGGCGGAAGGCUUAACACAUGCAAGUCGAACGAGUGGCGGACGGGUGAGUAAUGCUUGGGAAUCUAGCUUAUGGAUGGGGUUAAUUACGGGAAACUGUAGCUAAUACCGCGUACCAUAGGAUGAGCCCACGUGGGAUUAGGUAGUUGUUGAGUUAAAGGCUCACCAAGCCGACGAUCUCUAGCUGGUCUGAGAGGAUGACGGGCAACACUGGGACUGAGACACGGCCCAGAAUACAACGGGAAGCAGCAGUGGGGAAUAGUGCGCAAUGGGGGAAACCCUGACGCAGCCAUGCCGCGUGUAUUAAGAAGGAAUUAGGGUUGUAAGGUACUUUCAGAGGGGAGGCGUUACCCGCAGAAGAAGCACCGGCUAACUCCGUGCCAGCAGCCGCGGUAAUUC
rnacentral:rRNA from 1 species